rnacentral:rRNA from 1 species
ACUCAAAUGAAUUGACGGGGGACCGCACAAGCAGCGGAGCGUGUGGUUUAAUUCGAGGCUACACGAAGAACCUUACCUAGGUUUGACAUCGCAUCGAAUACUGUGUGAAAGCAUGGUAGUCCCGCAAGGGACGGUGUGACAGGUGCUGCAUGGCUGUCGUCAGCUCGUGCCGUGAGGUGUUCGGUUAAGUCCGCAAACGAGCGCAACCCUCGGUGCCAGUUACAAGUGUCUGGCGCGACUGCCCGUGGCAAACGGGAGGAAGGUGGGGAUGACGUCAAGUCAGCAUGGCCUUUAUAUCUAGGGCUACACACACGCUACAAUGGCGCGUACAAUGGGUCGCGAACCUGCGAAGGGGAGCCAAUCCUAAAAAGCGCGUCUCAGUUCAGAUCGUAGGCUGCAACCCGCCUGCGUGAAGUUGGAGUUGCUAGUAACCGCGCGUCAGCAGAGUGCGGUGAAUACGUUCCCGGUCCUUGUACACACCGCCCGU